UACGUAGGGGGCUAGCGUUGUCCGGAUUUAUUGGGCGUAAAGAGCGUGUAGGCGGCCAGGUAGGUCUGCUGUGAAAACCCGAGGCUCAACCUCGGGCCUGCAGUCGAUACGGGCAGACUAGAGUGCUGUAGGGGAGACUGGAAUUCCUGGUGUAGCGGUGAAAUGCGCAGAUAUCAGGAGGAACACCGGUGGCGAAGGCGGGUCUCUGGGCAGUAACUGACGCUGAGGAGCGAAAGCGUGGGGAGCAAACAGG
rnacentral:rRNA from 1 species